ACAGAUGCGAUUUCUUCCGGUUUCCAAGCUCGUCAACUUCUCUAAUGGCGAAUCUGCCAUCUUCGUCUUCUCCGCAAUCACUUUCCUCAGCCUCCAAUUCCGACAACUCCCCCGCCACCACUACUAAACCCACUUCUCACUCUUCUCUCUUUCCUAAACUCCAGGUUGACGCUGGGGAAAACAAUUUCGACGAGAAAACGCCUGAAGUAGCUACCAAUUUUCAGCAACGUAUUUGAUGAGAAUGUUACAAUAGACAAUGAACUUAUAAAGUCAAGCAGAUGGCCGUGUAUGCGAUCGUAUGCAGACACAGUGAAGGCUUUUGAAGACCAGAACAGCAGUGAAUCAGUCACUGUUAAUGAGACCCCGUCUAACAUCUCAAACGGAAAGCACCUUCCGAAGAAGAAUGGUUAAGUAAAGUUCUCAAAUUUUCUCCCCCAUUCUUGUAAAAUGUUGUACAAUAAAUGCUAUGAUUGAGAUAAGCCAGACUUAGGAAACGGACACGAGCUUACAAUGGCCUCUAAACACUCACAAUGAACUCCAGCUGUCUACAGCUAUUGAUGACUUUGAACUUACGUCUAUUACAUACUACACAGCUUAAUGAUGAGACAUGUGAGGAAAAAAAAUUGAAAUCAAACAUUUCUAAGGAAAUCGACAUGAACCUAUAGCCGAAGUUGAACAUGAUAACUAGACUACGUCUCAGUAAAGCACAUAUGUGGAUUCAUCAGUCAUGUAUGAACCGGCUGGGAGGAUUGUUAUAUAUGCUCUUACUUUGGAUACGAAACAAACUAGCAAGCAAUCAUUAGGUUUGUCCUUUUCAAUGUGUAUAAUGUUUCGUUUUAUUUAUUUGAUAAUUUGAACUGCUAGAAUUUUAUUGAUAUUUGUUAA